rnacentral:sRNA from 1 species
GGCUGGUCUCAAACUCCUGGGCUCAAGCCAGUCUGCUGCCUUGGCCUCCCAGAGUGCGGGGAUUGCAGGCUGAGCCACCAUACCUGGCCCAGAUAAAUUUCUUUUACCCUACUCUACUUCCACUGCUUUACUUGACUAGCCUUAA